CACUGUGUGUUCCUACGUGUGAACCCCGGUUUUGAAGGCUAUCUCAUUUAGUCUGCUCCGUCUUUCACAGGUCAGCCGUGGGUUCUUCUAAGUGUCUAAACAGGCGGAUCCACACGGUGGCUCGGGAUUCUUGUCUGGGAUCUACCUCUGUAGUUUUGGCAAAAGCAGUUUUCCUUGAACUGUAUUUGAAUUGGUUUUCCUAAGUAUGAACCUUGAAUGAGCCUCUCUCUUAGCUGCAUUAAAGACGAGAUUUGUGUCAGAUUAGAUCAAGGAUUCAAAGCUGACAAAUGCUUUCCUCAACUGCAGAGGCACUUGGAAGCACAGAAUUCAGGAAUGACUGUUAACGGAGGUUAGUUUCUCUGGGGUAGCUUUCCUGAAAGGGAGACUCAGACUGCUUGCAUUGCCAGGCAGUCCUCUGAAGGAGACAUUUUCUUAGCCUUCCUCUGAAAGAAACCCGGAGGCAGAGCUGGACGAGGACGCUUCUGUCUGUUGAGGGCGUGCUGUGCACCAGGCACCGUGAUAAGGGCUUUACCUGUGUUACCUCACUGAAUCCUCAGAGCAGCCUUCGAGGCAGGUUCUCCUAAUAUCCCCAUUUUACAGGUGAGGAAACUGAGGGACAACGCUGUUAAGUAACUCAUUCAAACUUACCCAGUCAGUAAGUGACAGAGCUGGGAUUCAAACCCAGGCAGCUGCAAUUUCAACAUCGUACUGCCUUUCCUGGAUGACCAAGCACCAGCUUCUUGGGCACCCCCCAAUCCCCUCUAACUGCUUCGGGUGCUGGGGGGAGUUUGCACACCACUUCAUUAAAAGAAAGCGUGUAAGUCUGAGAGAAAGCCAGCAAUAACACAACGCAACAAGGGUUAGGGAAAGCGGGCGGCUUAAAGGGUGGCCUCUGGAGUCAAUGGCCAGGGUUUGUCAGGGACAGAAGACAAAGAGAAAGUCUGCUGGGGUGAGGGAGACGUUCUUGUGCAGCUCAGGAUUCUCAGGGCAGUAGGCUGGUUGUGGACUCAGGCAAAAGCUUUGCAUCUGAAAGUCUGGAGCUCUCUGCUCUGUCAGGCGGUUGGAUGUGGACUAGAACCCAAAUGAAAGUCGGACGGGGCCAAGCAGGAGGUCGGCGCUGGUUGCAGCUUGCUGAAUAGUCGUGGUUUGACAGCGCCUGUCCCGCGGCGGCUCUGCUGCGCGGCGUGAUGCCUCUGGUGACGGAGGAGCUCGCCGCGCCUGCCGAGGGAGCCCUCUCCCGGCAGGGUGUUCCUUGUGGAUGCACAUCGGUGUCUGGAUGCUGGGGAGCAGCAGUAAAACCGCCUGAUUUAGGGUACAGACUGCAUCUAAUUCCUUCUUUCUUCUGUUAAAUCACAGCAAAGGGGACCACUUUAGACGGCUAAUAGAUUACCCAGCAUCUGUGCACUAUUUCGCAUGCGUUUAGCAAGGGAAAAUAGCUUGCCCGCAGGAGCUGUAGAGUGUUUGGGAGUAAAGUGAGCAGAUCUUGUUGAUUCAUUUUUUAUCCAUAUCCAGUGAAGACCUUCAGAGACAAGACGAAAUGAAUGGGAAAGGUCAGAAAAUCCCAGAAACUUAUGAUAUUCUAAAAUGAGAAUGGAAGAUUGGGCGUCAUUUCACCUCUGAGUAGACACAGCCUUUACCGUUGAAGAAUUAUGGAGAACUGUGGCUGAUUAUUCCAAAGGGAAUGAAGAGGGCCGUGAAAGAUACCAGUGCUCUCCGUCGGGUGAAAUAACAGUGAGUCUCACAGACGGUGAUGGUGAUGGGCAUCGAUGAGUGACCACGGGUCACAGGCCAGGAAUCCACGGAGCGGAAAGCCUGAAGACCGAGUCUCUCCUUCCCGGAGACUCUCCUUCAGAGGGGCGGAGGCGGGCGCGGCCUCCUCAGUCCCCUGCGCAGUGUCCCCUCUUUUCCCCUUGCCGGGGAAGCCUGCUCACGCUCCUCCCCACCAAAGUGGCAUUUCCUCGCAGUCAGAGUUGCGGUUGCUUAGCUCCAGACUAUCUUCAGCCACUACCUGGGUGGCAAUGUUGGUGUUGGUAAGAAGAACAGAACAGAAACGUCCCUUCUCCACAACCCCUGCUGCACUGUGACCGCGAGUCUUCUGCCACAACUCCCCUCUGACGGCCCUUUCCCCUCCAGUCCCCCAGGGCCGUCCCAGUGGCUCCCCAGGCAGGAGGCAGGAGUCCCUGUGGUCUGCUCCUCAGUCUUUUUCUUCGGCGGGAGGUGUGUGCUUUGAAACGCCCUUUUGGCCUGGAAUGGCCCCCCAUGAUCCUUUU
rnacentral:lncRNA from 1 species